rnacentral:rRNA from 1 species
GACGAACGCUGGCGGCGUGCCUAAUACACGCAAGUCGAACGAACUCUGGUAUUGAUUGGUGCUUGCAUCAUGAUUUACAUUUGAGCGAGUGGCGAACUGGUGAGUAACACGUGGGACACCUGCCCAGAAGCGGGGGAUAACACCUGGAAACAGAUGCUAAUACCGCAUAACAACUUGGACCUCUCGGUCCAAGCUUGAAAGAUGGCUUCUGCUAUCACUUGUGGAGUGUCCCGCGUCGUAUUAGCUAGAUGGUGGGGUAACGGCUCACCAUGGCGAUGAUACGUAGCCGACCUGAGAGGGUAAUCGGCCACAUUGGGACUGAGACACGGCCCAAACUCCUACGGGAGGCAGCAGUAGGGAAUCUUCCACAAUGGACGAAAGUCUGAUGGAGCAACGCCGCGUGAGUGAAGAAGGGUUUCGGCUCGUAAAACUCUGUUGUUAAAGAAGAACAUAUCUGAGAGUAACUGUUCAGGUAUUGACGGUAUUUAACCAGAAAGCCACGGCUAACUACGUGCCAGCCGCCGCGGUAA